rnacentral:rRNA from 1 species
UACGGGGGGGGCAAGCGUUGUUCGGAAUUACUGGGCGUAAAGGGCUCGUAGGUGGCCAACUAAGUCGGACGUGAAAUCCCUCAGCUUAACUGGGGAACUGCGUCCGAUACUGGAUGGCUCGAGUUUGGGAGAGGGAUGCGGAAUUCCAGGUGUAGCGGUGAAAUGCGUAGAUAUCUGGAGGAACACCGGUGGCGAAGGCGGCAUCCUGGACCGGUAUUGACGCUGAGGCGCGAAAGCCAGGGGAGCAAACGGG